UACAACUGGAAGUUCAGUAAAAGCAAUUCCACAAGGAGCCAAAUUUAUACAGCCUGGGCAUCAGAUCUGGCGGUCUGGAUAGACCCACAGUUAAAAUUGGAUAUGUGGCCCAACCCUCCAGCAAGCUCAUAGAAUAUUGCAAAUUCAGCCUAUUUAAGACUGUUAGCAAGAAUCAGGAGACAAAAGUGACAUUUAUCUUAAAUUUUCAACCCUAGUGAAUUUUCCUGGUAGGCUGGGUUGGUUUUACACUUCUUUAACAGAUGAAGAAACUCAGGCUCAGAGAGCCUAUUUACGUGACCAGAAAAUAUCAGAGCCAGCUCUAAAUCGAUGUCUUAGGCAUCCCUUCCUCAGCCUUGCCCACCACACAUGCUUCAACAAAAGCGUUUAUGCCCUUAGGAUCUCUCUGCGGAUGGUGGGCCGCAGUACCCAGGAGGGUGUUGUCCUACACACUUGAGGAGAGCUAGUGAGAAGGGGAACUAGGCCCAGCCAGUGAGGAGGCACACUUUUUCCAGAGGUCCAUUGUAAUCCAACCCCCCACCCCUCUUCCUGGCACAACUCCUUGUACCCCAGGCAGGGAAGUAAGGCUAACAUUACACAGAUGGGGAAAUACUUCCACCUCCAAACAUAAAAAUGAUCUUGCAGCAUACACUUGACUUCACUCAUUUAUUCACUUUUCACUACAAGGUGGGAAUAGGUGGGCCCUCAGCUCGGGGAGUUCUGGGAGCUUUGCUAGAGGAGGAGAGGAAAACGGGAAAGUGGGGCCUUAUUGCAGGGUAGGCUUCUAAGGGAAAGAAGAUGGGGAGAAGAAAGGAGAGAGGAAACACGGAUCCAGGCCCGUCUUCCAUCUCUCGUCCAGGCUUCCCAAGCGCAAGUAGAAAGAGUGACAGGACACUCACACAGACAUGUCCUUGAUCCCUUCUCGUCCUUCCCCCACCAUCCAGCAAUAACGUGAGAGAAAUCAAAGAAGUACAGGAGGCGGGCAGCGGACAGUCUUGGUAAGGAAAAAAAAAAAAAAAACAGGUGCACUGGGCUCCAACGCACAGCUGAGACCUCCCUCCUCCCGGCUGGCGGCGGCGGGCGCAGGGAGGAGAGCGGCGCGAGCGCACGCGGGCCGGCCGCCGGGCCGUGCGGCGCCCUCAGCUGAGGACUGCCCUCUUCUUCCCGCCGCAGCCGCGCUCCGCCGCUUUCCGGCCCGGGCCGCUGUCCCCGCUGCCGCUGCUGCUGCUGGCGGGCGGGCGCAGCACGGUCCUCCGCACCACGGUCCUCCGCACGCGGAACUCGCCGCCGCGGUAGGUGACGCGCACGUCGGUGCGCGGGUACGUGCCGUACACGCGCCGCAGCUCCCGCCGCACAAAGUCGGGCAGCUCCAGGCGCGGACCCAGCGCACGCACCACGUGGCCCCAGCGCAGCUCAGCCUGUAGGCGGCCGCCCUCCGGCCACGGCGCCGCGCUCUCGGCCGCCGCCAUCCCUGCCGCUGCGGGCGCCUGAGGCGACGGCCCCAGGUAGCCGGGGGCGGCGUAGGCCUGCGGGAAGACCCACAAGGGCGGCACGGCCCCCAGGGGCGCACCCGGGCCGUGGAAGCAGUGGUAUUCCCGCGGGGCGCCCCACUCCCCCGCUCUCAGGCUCCGGGGCCGGCUGCAGAAGUUGUGGGCCUGGAUGGGGGGCAGCAGCAGAGGGGCCGGCAGGCAAAGGGAAACACCUUGAGCUGGCCAGGAGCCAGCCAGCCUUUGUCUACAUUGGAUGAGCCUGCUGGCUCCAAGCUAGACGCUGAGGCCUUUACUCAUGGUUGGCUUCACCACAACUUGCCCACAUUCACCCAGCCAGUUACGAUCCAAUGUAAUCACAAGAGUCUUUAAAUGUCGAAGAGGGAGGCCAAAGAGUCGGAGUGAUGUAACAUGAGCGUUGACCAGCCAUUGCUGGCUUUGAAGAUGGAAGAGGGGCGCGAGCUGAGGAGUGCAGGCAGCCUCUAGAAGCUGGAAAAGGGGAAAAAAUGGAUUCUUCCCUGGAGCCUCCAGAAAGGAACGCAGUCCUGCCAACACUUUAAUUUUCGCCAGUGAGACCCAUUUCAGACUUCUGACCUCCACAACUGACAGAAGUCUGAAAGAAAGCAUUCUGGAUUGAGAGGUGAAGGCCUGACUGAGCAUGGAGCCACAGAAGAAGUGGAGCCAGGGGACAGA
rnacentral:lncRNA from 1 species